GGGACACGUGGUAUCCUGUCUGAAUAUGGGGGGACCAUCCUCCAAGGCUAAAUACUCCUGACUGACCGAUAGUGAACCAGUACCGUGAGGGAAAGGCGAAAAGAACCCCGGCGAGGGGAGUGAAAAAGAACCUGAAACCGUGUACGUACAAGCAGUGGGAGCACGCUUAGGCGUGUGACUGCGUACCUUUUGUAUAAUGGGUCAGCGACUUAUAUUCUGUAGCAAGGUUAACCGAAUAGGGGAGCCGAAGGGAAACCGAGUCUUAACUGGGCGUUAAGUUGCAGGGUAUAGACCCGAAACCCGGUGAUCUAGCCAUGGGCAGGUUGAAGGUUGGGUAACACUAACUGGAGGACCGAACCGACUAAUGUUGAAAAAUU
rnacentral:rRNA from 1 species